CAGGUUGGAGAAAAUGAACCAUUUAUAAGUGAACUUUUAACAGGCCUUCCAACCAUUGUUGCAGAUCUUGAGCCUCAUCAGAUUCAUUCAUUCUAUGAAUCGGUUGGUCAUAUGAUUCAUGCAGAAUCUGAUCCUCAGAAGAGGGAUGAGUUUCUACACAGAUUGAUGGAGCUGCCUAAUCAGAAAUGGGCUGAAAUUAUAGGACAGGCACGCUUAAGCGUUGAUUUCCUGAAGGAUCAAGAUGUGAUAAGGACGGUGUUGAAUAUUGUGUGUAUAGAUUCUUGGCUCCUACUUCACUUCUGUGAUGUAUGUGGAGCAUUGG